CCUACGGGAGCAGCAGUGGGGAAUAUUGGACAAUGGGCGCAAGCCUGAUCCAGCCAUGCCGCGUGUGUGAAGAAGGCCUUCGGGUUGUAAAGCACUUUUAUCCGGAAAGAAAAGCUUUGGGUUAAUACCCUGAAGUCAUGACGGUACCGGAAGAAUAAGCACCGGCUAACUUCGUGCCAGCAGCCGCGGUAAUACGAAGGGUGCAAGCGUUACUCGGAAUUACUGGGCGUAAAGCGUGCGUAGGUGGUUUGUUAAGUCUGAUGUGAAAGCCCUAGGCUCAACCUGGGAAUUGCAUUGGAUACUGGCAGGCUAGAGUGCGGUAGAGGAUAGUGGAAUUCCCGGUGUAGCAGUGAAAUGCGUAGAGAUCGGGAGGAACAUCUGUGGCGAAGGCGACUAUCUGGGCCAGCACUGACACUGAGGCACGAAAGCGUGGGGAGCAAACAGGAUUAGAUACCCUGGUAGUCCACGCCCUAAACGAUGCGAACUGGAUGUUGGGUGCAACUAGGCACUCAGUAUCGAAGCUAACGCGUUAAGUUCGCCGCCUGGGGAGUUACGGUUCGCAAGCUGAACUUCAAAGGAUUGACGGCUUGAGCGNGCGAGCGACGACGAGGAGGAGG
rnacentral:rRNA from 1 species